rnacentral:lncRNA from 1 species
UACUUUAUUCAAAGCAAAAUCACUUUAAUCAAGCCAAGACAAUUCGGGCUACAAUCAAACUCAGUUCUCAAGGCACCAAAAGUAGCCUCUGCAUUAUCACUUCGCCCAGGAUAAAUACUUUCCAGAAUCCAAGGCACCGAAUAUAGCCUCUUUAUAGUCAAAAGCAUCAUCUUUAGAAUCCAAAUCACUGAAAGUAGCCUCUCCACAGUCAAAAGCAUCAUCUCCAAAAUCCAAGGUACCAAAAGUAGCCUCUCUACAUCAAAGAUAUUAUCAUUCUACCCAAGAUGAUCACAUGAUUACUCUAC